UGUUGAAACACCAGUUCCCAUAUGAUCACCAAAGUUAAGCAAAAUCAAACUUGGUCAGUACCUAGAUGGGUGACCACAGGAAUACUAGGUGCUAUA